AGAUUGAACGCUAGCGGGAUGCUUUACACGUGCAAGUCGAACGGCAGCGCGGACUUCGGUCUGGCGGCGAGUGGCGAACGGGUGAGUAAUAUAUCGGAACGUGCCCAGUAGCGGGGGAUAACUACGCGAAAGCGUGGCUAAUACCGCAUACGCCCGUACGGGGGAAAGGGGGGGAUUCUUCGGAACCUCUCACUAUUGGAGCGGCCGAUAUCAGAUUAGCUAGUUGGUGAGGUAAAGGCUCACCAAGGCGACGAUCUGUAGCUGGUUUGAGAGGACGACCAGCCACACUGGGACUGAGACACGGCCCA
rnacentral:rRNA from 1 species